rnacentral:lncRNA from 1 species
UGUCAAGAAAUUUGUAAUGUUUUGAACAACCCACAAUAAAAAAUUAAAAAUAAAAAAAAAAGAAACCCAGAUCUUCCAGAAUUGCAGAAUUUUUAGAUCUUCAGAAAUAAGAAAGAAAAGAAAAUCAAAACUUUCUAACUGCGGGUAAACUUAGUAUUCGAAUUCUUUAUAAUUAUAAGAUCAAUGAUACUAAGUCCUUUAUUUCAUCAUUAUGAUUUUUUUAAGAAUCACUGUCUAAUUUUUAAUAUCUUAUCACUCACCUCAAAUAACUCUUGUGAGUCUAAGAUAGAAGGUCUAUGCAAAAUUUAUGUCAAAAUACCUAAGUAUAUAAGAGCACAUAGGACUUUUUAAAUUAAGAGAUUAUAAUACCUGUUUAAAGACACUAUUGACCUUCCAUGUCUGCAGGCUCAACCAACCACUGAUUAAAAAAAAUAUUUAAAAAAAUGUAUCUGUACUGGAUAUACAGAUUUUUUUCAUGUUAUCAUUCCCUAAACAAAGAUUAUAAUAAUUAUUUAUGUAACAUUUACAUUGUAUUAGGUAUUAUAAGUAAUCUAGAAAUUAUCUGAAGUGUCCAGGAGGAUAUGCAUAACUUUUAUGUGAAUUAUACAUCAUUUUAUAUAAGGGAACAUAGGUUUUGAUACUAAGGGAUGUAUGCACCACUUACCCUUUGCUCAAUGACUUUAUAAGGCAUGUUUACCUAAAAAUCCCCUCUCAAAUUAGUUAAGUUUAAGCAGAUUUUAUCAUAGAAAAGUUUUCAUUUGGAUAACCCAAAAUCUUCUGUAGUGGUUUCUGGCCAUUCCUCCUUUAUUGCUGUCCCCAUUCUUUGUAUGAACUUUCUUCCAGCUUAUUGAACACUUUCUUUUACCAAUAGUUAUGAAGAGGGAGCAAAAUAUUCACUGAAUUGACCAAACUCUGAAGAGGAUAUUUUAUUUCUGUUCAAUGGGUUAUCUUGAUUUAGGAAAAAAAAAAUCAUGAUUAAACUUAUAAAGAUUGCCUUAGUCUGUUCAGGCUGAUGUGAAAAAAUACCACAGGUUGGGUACGAUAGAAAUAACUGAAGUCUAUUACUUACCCCAAAUCAUGUUUAGAUGCUGGAACAUUCAAGAUGGAGGGACUGACAGAUUCAGUGUCUGAUGAGGACUUCUCUCUGCUUCCAAGGUGGUACCGGACAUGGUAGAGGAGGUAGAAUUUGUGUUCUCACAUGCCAUAAGGCAAAAGGCAUUUCCUUGAACCCUCAAAAAGGACACUAAUCCCAUUCACGAUUGUAGUGUUCUUUGGCCUGAUUACCUCCUGGUAUGGUCUGGAUCUGAAUGUUUCCCAAAGACUCAUGUAUUGAAGACCUGGUCCCC